rnacentral:rRNA from 1 species
UACGUAGGGGGCAAGCGUUGUCCGGAAUCAUUGGGCGUAAAGCGCGUGUAGGCUGCUCUGCAAGUCGGAUGUGAAAGCCCUGGGCUCAACCUAGGAAGUGCAUUCGAAACUGCAGAGCUGGAGUCCUGGAGAGGAAGGCGGAAUUCUCGGUGUAGAGGUGAAAUUCGUAGAUAUCGAGAGGAACACCGGUGGCGAAGGCGGCCUUCUGGACAGUGACUGACGCUGAGACGCGAAAGCGUGGGGAGCAAACAGG